CUACGGGCCGCUGCAGGCGCGAAACCUCUACAAUGCACGAAAGUGUGAUAGGGGGACUCCAAGUGUGCUUACGCUGUAAGCACUUUUGCCAAGUGUAAACUAUUUGGCGAAUAAGGGCUGGGCAAGACGGGUGCCAGCAGCCGCGGUAACACCCGCAGCUCAAGUGGUGAUCACUUUUACUGGGCCUAGAGCGCUCGUAGCUGGUCAUGUCAGUCUUUGGUGAAAUUGUUGCGCUCAACGUAACAGCGUGCUGGAGAUACGUCAUGACUUGAGACCGGGAAGAGGUAAGGGUAUUCCUGGGGUAGGGGUAAAAUCCUAUAAUCCCAGGAGGACCACCUGUGGCGAAGGCGCUUACCUUGAACGGGUUUGACAGUGAGGGACGAAAGCUAGGGUAGCAAACGGGAUUAGAUACCCUAGUAGUC
rnacentral:rRNA from 1 species